GAGAAAUGCAUUGCCCCCAGGAUGAAACAAGGUUAAAUAAAUCACAAGCACCAUUCUACUGGAGUCAAGGUUACAGCAAAGAAAGAAGGAGUUGGUGAAGAUUGAGGAUGUAGACAGCUGCCUAUCCCACUUCUUCUGAAGGUGCCGAACAAUAGACGCUACAGGUGAGAGAAAAAUACAGCUUGGUUGGCACAACCAAUGACCCUUGUACACAGCCCCAAGACACUACAUUUGAUUUUCAGAAUUAAACCAAGUCUUUCCUGAGAUUCGGAAUCAACUUAAUGUUUUUCAUAUCUAGUUUCCAGCUGGAACAAAAUUCCAAAGUGCCGGAAUUCUCAUAAGAAAACUACAUUUGCGAAUAUCCA
rnacentral:lncRNA from 1 species